rnacentral:ribozyme from 1 species
CAAGUACAGCACCAAAAGAAGAGAUCACCAUCAACAUUUCCAUACUCGCCUGUGUCCUGUUAUUCCUCAUUUUUAUCUACUUCUUUUUGCUUUGGAAUUCCAC